rnacentral:tRNA from 1 species
AUUUAUAUAGUUUAACAAAAACAUUACACUUUCACUGUAAAAAUAAUUCUAAUUUAUAAAUA